AUUCGACCUGAGCUCAGGCAAGAGCACCCGCUGAACUUA
rnacentral:rRNA from 1 species